UACGUAGGGGGCAAGCGUUAUCCGGAUUUACUGGGUGUAAAGGGAGCGUAGGUGGCAUGGUAAGCCAGAAGUGAAAACCCAGGGCUCAACUCUGUGGAUUGCUUUUGGAACUAUCAGGCUGGAGUGCUGGAGGGGUAAGCGGAAUUCCUAGUGUAGCGGUGAAAUGCGUAGAUAUUAGGAGGAACACCGGUGGCGAAGGCGGCUUACUGGACAGAAACUGACACUGAGGCUCGAAAGCGUGGGGAGCA
rnacentral:rRNA from 1 species